rnacentral:rRNA from 1 species
CCUUCGGGUUGUAAAGCUCUUUUGUCAGGGAAGAAACGGUCCUUUCUAAUACAGAGGGCUAAUGACGGUACCCUCGAAGAAUAAGCACCGGCUAACUACGUGC